UGAUUGACAGUCUAGAUGACCUGGAGGAU
rnacentral:piRNA from 1 species